rnacentral:misc_RNA from 1 species
AAAACACUCGAGACGCCUGAAGAGAAGCCAGCGUGUUAAAGCACUGGCAUUCAUUCCCUUUUUACCCUAGCUGGCUGAGCAGGGAGCCCUGAGAUUAUUAAGAAACGAACAAAUUAUGAAUCGAUACGCCGGAAAGGCAGUGUCAUCGGCUGCUAAAGCAGCAGUUGCUGGUCACCCCCACCGCUCUCGCCGCCCUCAAAGCGUCCACCUCCCUCCUUAUUCAUCUCAUGGCAGCGUAGUAAACGCCCAAAUGAAGUCCAAAGUAACACCAUCGUCUUCAUCGCAGUUGGGCAAGUUUCUUGGUUUUGUUGAUCCCCCUCGCUCCGAGAUCUCCAAAAUCAUCUCCAGGUUCAUCAAACUGCACAUGCGCCAGGUACGUAACUUUGAGCCUGAUGUAAUUUUUUUUCGUACUUCGUCGUCAAUAUGUUCGAUGAAUGUACUGAGAGAAUGCUCGUAGUUUCUUUUCUCUUGUUAUUUUCCGUUAUUCACUUUGAAAAUUCUUUCCAUGUCAAGAAAAACACAAUCUAUCGUAACUCACCGAUCAAAGGAAAAUAAUACCCAUCACCCAUAUCCAGAUGCUUACCUAAAAGUUCAAACAAUUCAAAAGUUUUUCUUUCCGUCACUGUCUCCUCUUUCCUUCCCUCCUUGAUUCCUAGAGGCAGAGAACACGUCUCUCUCCCUUGAGCUCUCUUCUCUUUAUCCAAAGUCUGCAGCGCACACAAGGCACAAACCAGGUCGUAGAUUGUCUAUCUAUCCAUCUUAAUUAGCCUGCAACUCUUGCUAAAUCUAUAUUAUACAUGCAAAUAAGCAAACCGGUAGCCGCACUAGUUAGUUGCAAUGGAUGAGAAUAAUUUUGUAUUAUUUUGAAUUUUGAUGCAAUGUCUUUGUUCUUGCCUUUUACCCAUCCCUUGCAGAACCCCGGGUUGAAGAAAAACCGUAAUUUUGAGGAAAAGUUGAUGUCUUUGUUGGCUUUGCAACAAAGAAUUGGGCUCCAAGAGGUUAGCAAAGUGCUGUUUCCUAACUGAACUGAGACUUCACUCAAGGAGACUCUGCUGCUUCAAGUCUUGAGAGUUGAGAUUGAGAACCUUUAUUCUCCAUUGUUACUAGUGAAUUUAUUGUUCCAAAAUUUACCAAAUUGGAGGAUUAAAUUAGAUAUUCCUACAUAAAAUAAAUGGAUUGUGGCAUUGGCAUUUGAAGAUGUUUUAGGCUGCUUAAAAUUUAUUUCUUUCUUUCUCCCCUCGUUAGUUGUGAUUAUUUGUUAAUGAUGAUUGUUUGUUAUAAUCUUUUGGUGGGAAGUGACAGAAAAUUAAACUAUGUACUGACAGUUGAUGUGGCGAUCUAGAAGAGCUGGGCUAAUUUUCACCUACCUUUCUUCAUCUUUAGGGGUUAUUUCAACAAAGUCCUUGAACUUCAAUUUG